rnacentral:tRNA from 1 species
GCGGGAGUUAUGGUUCAGUGGUAGAACACUCGCCUACCACUUGCGAGGCCCUGGGUUUGAUCCUCAGCACCGCA